rnacentral:snoRNA from 1 species
UGGAAGUAAAGAUACUGUGUCAUGCACUCUAAGUUUGACUUGACACUCACUUGAUCUUCCUAAAGAAUAUGUUGCUUUCUGGUGACCUCACUGUUUUACAAGACCUCUUUGAGGACAGAUACGGAGCACACAUUU